rnacentral:lncRNA from 1 species
CAUCAACGGUCGAGGUUAGAACUUUUUAUUCCUUAUAAACUGAACCGGUACCGACGAAUAGGAACACACCACGUGGCACCCGAGUUAUAAAAUAAAAAUCUAAUUUUAAUCCCCAAGAAUUAAUAAAAGGCAUUUUGCAGAUAAGCCCCUGUAACUUCAAAAGAUCAUAACUUUAAAUUUGUUUGGCCAAAUUUAAUGAUCCACACCUUGUUGGAAUCCUUAGGAAUUCAAACACUCUUCGCAAUCACACAGUUCGCUCUCCGAGAAAGCUAAACAAUACAAACGAUGCAUACAUAAACACACCAGACAAACAAAAAAAUAUGUAUGCCAUGAUGCAAUGCAAAACAUGUGACAUGAGUGGGUUGAUUUUAUUCGGGUGAUCUACUGGUCCAAAGCC